AUCACUCAACAGCAUUAUUACUAGUGGCAUUGCUUUUGCUUCCAUGGAGGAGAGGGUGUCAAAAAGGACAAGGUGGCAUCUGUCGUGAUUGAAGCCCAGACUUUUGACGAAUGGCAGCAUUUCAAUCACAUGGUUGUGGCUGCCAUCUUGACUUUUUUACCCCCUCCCCAGGCAGCAUCCUUGGUUUCUUCCAACUGCCCACUAACAGAGAAACCUCAUACUUUGCAUUGGUAGACCAAAACCAGAAUGAUUUCUGCACCAGUAUGUACUUGAAAUGGCAGCCACACACCAGUUACUACACUGCAUUUCUACAUUGUCAGGAGUUUAUCAAUACAGAUAAGACACAGUCUAAGAAUGGGAGAGAGACUGAGAUAGAACAGCCUUUGGCUAUUUGGCCUGGGCAUUAUAGAAGCGUAAUCCAUCAAAUCUGGAAAGGUCCCAGGCUGCGCAAAGUUAAAUACUGUAAGGGUAAGAUAUUAAGGGAAAAGGGGUUUAUACCCUCCUCGCUUAUUUAUUUUCCUUCAGCAUUACUGACACUGACACUAAUCCAAAUGAUGAACAAGAAUUAUCCUGCUGACAAAUGGACAGAUGGAUGGAAGGCAUCCUGAGCCGCUUUUCCUAAUUGCUUUCCAACAUUUUGAAGAGUUGGAGAGAAUAAAAAGCAGGUGGAUGUUUUGUCCCUAGAAAUUCUGUCCAGAACAAUCCAAGUCCUUACAGAUUAGGAUGAGGAAUAUUCAUAGGUAGAGAAGCUAUCUGCAAAUUCCCCUGGGACCAAGAGGAUCCAUGCCUGGAGCAGCCAUCUUUGUCUACCCCUUCAAAGUGCCUUUUCAACAUGUCACAGCCUCGAGGUGAGGUCUUCCAUAACAACAUGUGAGCUGGUCUUUGAGCUUGUUCUAUGUGGGUCCCUGUGUGGGUCAUCAUGGAGAGUUGUUUCUGGUUCACAGAUUUUAACAGCUAGGCCACCUGUGUGCAUUCCUUUGAGAAUCCAGCAUGUCAGCUUGCUUCUGAAAGAAAAAGGUAAAGUCUCCCUCAAGUUGAGGCCAGUUUCUGUUUAGGACAUGGACAUAUCCCAUGUUCUUUUCUUGCUAAUGGUACAGAACAGAUGUCCCGUUGCUUUCUGUGGGGAUGUCUCAUUGUCUUCCCUAUUGCCUUGGGAUUUCUGGUGGUCUCCCAUCCAAGUAUUAACCAGAUCUGACCCUGUUUAGUUUCUUUAAGAUCAGCCACAGUUGGCUAGAUCCUGUCCAUAUCCCACACCCACCCACCCACCCUGCUUCUCUAACUUCUGAUGCUGUGCAGGAGAAAUCAGCCAAAGAUAAAUCUUCAUCUGGGAGCUCAUUGUUGAUUUUAAAGUAUUUUAAAAACACAUGGGCAGUUAUGAAAGUGAAUGCCUGAAUAACAAGCUUGGAUUAGGAUCCAUGCUAUGAAGUAAAAUGGCAAACUGGUGCUGUUUAUAUGUGAAUUAAAACAAAAGGUACUAUUUACUGUGUAUUAAAUUAUUCACAUGUCUAUCUAUCCAUGUGGUGACUAGGAGUCAAAAAAGACUUGAUGCAUAUAAUCAAUCUAGCAAUCUAGCUGAUAGGUAGAGAUCUUGCAAUCGGGCAGGUGUUUGGGUUAUCUGCUUAAAAGAACUCUGUUGCGAGAUAAGGAACAGGCCCAAGAAGGUAAGUUCGGAAGGUGGGAAAGAGAGAUUAGGGAAGGGGGAGAAGCAAGCUGAGGUUGUCCUGGCCUGGCCAAGUCAGGGCACAUGUGUAGGAUCCCUGGGACUAUGUGCCUUCCUGCACAGCACAUCACAGCACAAGUCAGCCUCUGCCUUGGCCAGCACUGAAGGCAAUGGAGAAGAGAAGAAGCGAGCAGAAAC